UGCAAUGUUUGUUCAUUUUCUGCUUGUGCUCUUUUUAUAAGACAGUAUUUCCCACUGCUGCAGGCAAACCAGACAGCUUGCACAGCCAGUUAAUCAUCAUGAAGGAUGCAACCUACGGUGAUUAGCUGCCUCUGGCUCUGGAUCUGACAGACACAUGCGAGCACAAUGGAACAGAGGAAGGAUCAGUGUCACUGCUCUGGACAAGUCGAGUACACUCCCUUAAUCCAGACUGCAUAGACCUCCUCUAGUCUACGUCACAGGGUACCUGCAACUCCAGCAUGGUGAGAUUAUCAACCUUCUGGCAUAUUUACAGGAAAAGUGAAUUGCUGGAAGCUGGGACACAAGUUAAUGUCAUCUUCUUGAGGGAAUUCAGCUAUUUGUGUUCUAUUUCCUGCCAUCAAUCCUAAACACCACGGCUACUAGAUUAAUGAACACCAUGGCAUCCCAGGAAAAUUUACUGCACCUUCUGCCUAAUUUCCAGUCUCCUCAGCUGGAAAGCUGCUACAGGCUUUGUCUCUGCUGGGCCAGCCAGCUGAUGCACAAUGCUCCCGUGGCCAGGAGCUGCAAAAGCUCCAUGAGAAGUUCCAUGGGCAGGACAUGGAGUUCCAUGGACAUCCAGGACAUCCCAGGACUGUGGGUGAUGCUGUGUCUAGGGCUGCUGUGAAUGCCAUGCUCAGAGUUCACAGUCCAGACCACCUCCAACUGUUCCUGCAGCCCUGCCGAAAACUGAACUGUUUUCCAGUGUUAACAUGCUCAUUACCCCCUGCUGAAAGUUUCUGCAAAUGCAGAGAACUCAAGACUUAGUGGGUCAGACAGAGGGAAGGAAUAUGAUUUAGUAACCUACUAGUUUGGGCUGACAAUUCAAAGCAGUAGGUCUGGCAUGCCAGUAGCCUCUCCAGGAACAGCUGAUGCUUUCAUCUAAUGAGUUUUUCAUGUAAAAUGCAUGAACAAUAGAGACUGGAAUCCACAUUUCAAUUAAUAUUUUAAGUGUUUUUUAUAAAGUAUUCAUAGUAGAAAGGCCUGAAGCUCAUGUGUGCUCCUGCUCCUGGUGAGUGCCCUAACCACACAGCAAGUGAGUUUUGCUUAUACCCAUCCUCCUUCUGGUCCACUGAGUACUUAAUUAGUUCAUACAGAGUGAAACAUCUUCAGCAGAGAAGAAAUUGAAAGAAGAGAUCUAAGAACACCCUGGAGAAGAAUAACAAAGACUCAAAUCUCUCUGUGUAGAGGAGACAUUUGAACCUGAGCUCCCUAUUUACAAAUGCACCAUUUUAACCUCAUUCAGAUAGGAAUGGGAAGCAGUGGGAAGAAUUAUGGAGGGCCACAAUGGAAUUAUGAGGCACCACCAUGCUCACUCAGGAGAACUGCUUCUUCUUCUUCUCUAAGCAGGUUCAAGUGGCAAGCUAAGGCAACUGUC